GAAGUACCUGUUAAGUCUCAGAUUAAAGAGAAAUUCAAAGGACGUUGUAGAAACUACAGCAAUAACUCUGUUUGAAUAAAUACAAAGUAACAAUUACAUGCAAACGGAAAAACAAGACCAGUAACUUGAACCAGCAACAUCUAAAUCAAACAAAAGCAAAACAGUAACGGAGGAAUUUGAUAAAAAGAAUGAUAUUUUUUCUCUUUAUCCUCCAUAUUGUUAAUGACACACAUCAUGCAAUGCGAUCUACACUCGCACGAUACAAAGCUUAAAUGCACUGGUCCCAAUAUAGUUGUUGGCCGUCAGUUUUCGUCUUUCGCAGUACCUUAUUUGGAACCAUUUUCUUUGUAAAGUCAUAGCUCUAAGAGCUUUUACCUCUGCAAUAUUCAUGUAUUGUAAUUAAAUCUCAAGACCAUUUUUUUAAAGUGCGAUGUAUGCAACUUUUAAUCAAAUUUUAUGGGGUUAUUUUAUUUGUAACAAUAACUCUAUGAAUAUUUCAGAGGUGUCCGUCCUUUUUGAGUCUCAUUGCUGAUCGCUGGUUGGGAUUAGGAUAAAGAGAGGCCAUAUUUAUAUCAGUGUGACCCAAGUGGUGCAUACUUUGCUUGGAAGGCAACAGCAAUGGGAAAGAACUUUGUAAAUGAAAAAAACAUUUUUAGAAAAAAGGUACAGUGAUAACCUGGAAUUGGAGGAUGCUGUCCAUACAGCCAUUCUGACUCUGAAGGUCAGAUGACAGAAGACAACAUAGAUAUAGGGAUCUGCAAUAAGGAUGGAUUCCGGCGGCUGUCUCCUCCUGAAGUGAAGGAUUAUCUCGCUUCUGUUCAAUAACAUUUUGUCUUCAUCUAGAUCUUGUUUCAUAGUGCUACUCAUUACAUGUGACAAUACUUAUUAAACACUUUGUACUAAA